GAUGAACGCUGGCGGCGUGCCUAAUACAUGCAAGUCGAGCGAACAGACGAGGAGCUUGCUCCUCUGACGUUAGCGGCGGACGGGUGAGUAACACGUGGAUAACCUACCUAUAAGACUGGGAUAACUUCGGGAAACCGGCGCUAAUACCGUAUAAUAUAUUGAACCGCAUGGUUCAAUAGUGAAAGACGGUUUUGCUGUCACUUAUAGAUGGUUCCGCGCCGCAUUAGCUAGUUGGUAAGGUAACGGCUUACCAAGGCAACGAUGCGUAGCCGACCUGAGGGGGUGAUCGGCCACACUGGAACUGAGACACGGUCCAGACUCCUACGGGAGGCAGCAGUAGGGAAUCUUCCGCAAUGGGCGAAAGCCUGACGGAGCAACGCCGCGUGAGUGAUGAAGGUCUUCGGAUCGUAAAACUCUGUUAUUAGGGAAGAACAAAUGUGUAAGUAACUAUGCACGUCUUGACGGUACCUAAUCAGAAAGCCACGGCUAACUACGUG
rnacentral:rRNA from 1 species